rnacentral:rRNA from 1 species
AAACGACUCUCGGCAACGGAUAUCUCGGCUCACGCAUCGAUGAAGAACGUAGCAAAAUGCGAUACUUGGUGUGAAUUGCAGAAUCCCGUGAACCAUCGAGUUUUUGAACGCAAGUUGCGCCCGAAGCCAUUCGGCCAAGGGCACGUCUGCCUGGGCGUCACGC